CCUACGGGAGGCAGCAGUGAGGAAUAUUGGUCAAUGGACGGAAGUCUGAACCAGCCAUGCCGCGUGCAGGAAGACGGCUCUAUGAGUUGUAAACUGCUUUUGUACAAGGGUAAACCUGAAUACGUGUAUUCAGCUGAAAGUACUGUACGAAUAAGGAUCGGCUAACUCCGUGCCAGCAGCCGCGGUAAUACGGAGGAUCCAAGCGUUAUCCGGAUUUAUUGGGUUUAAAGGGUGCGUAGGCGGAUUGAUAAGUUAGAGGUGAAAUGUCCGAGCUUAACUCGGGAACUGCCUCUAAUACUGUUGGUCUAGAGAGUAGAUGCGGUAGGCGGAAUGUAUGGUGUAGCGGUGAAAUGCUUAGAGAUCAUACAGAACACCGAUUGCGAAGGCAGCUUACCAAUCUAUAUCUGACGUUGAGGCACGAAAGCGUGGGUAUCGAACAGGAUUAGAUACCCGAGUAGUC
rnacentral:rRNA from 1 species